GACGAACGCUGGCGGCGUGCUUAACACAUGCAAGUCGAACGGAAAGGCCCUGCUUUUGUGGGGUGCUCGAGUGGCGAACGGGUGAGUAACACGUGAGUAACCUGCCCUUGACUUUGGGAUAACUUCAGGAAACUGGGGCUAAUACCGGAUAGGAGCUCCUGCUGCAUGGUGGGGGUUGGAAAGUUUCGGCGGUUGGGGAUGGACUCGCGGCUUAUCAGCUUGUUGGUGGGGUAGUGGCUUACCAAGGCUUUGACGGGUAGCCGGCCUGAGAGGGUGAACGGCCACAUUGGGACUACGAGACGGCGCAGACUCCUACGGGGGGCAGCAGUGGGGAGUAUUGCACAGUGGGCGGAAGCCUGAUGCAGCAACGCCGCGUGCGGGAUGACGGCCUUCGGGGUGUAAACCGCUUUCGCCUGUGACGAAGCGUGAGUGACGGUAAUGGGUAAAGAAGCACCGGCUAACUACGUG
rnacentral:rRNA from 1 species